rnacentral:ncRNA from 1 species
UUAAAAACAUUGAUUAGGAAGAGUAGUUCCAGCCGCAGGAAAUCAGAAAGCUGACGGUAGUUGUGAGUCAGCCAAGCCCUUGAAUGAAAAUCGCCUAUGAGUUGGGCGUCAAAAACUUAGUAAGACGCACCUGGCAGCACCCAUUAUCGUGCCGAUGAAUCCAAAUUUCUUGGGCUCAUUUGAGGUUAAGUUUCCAGCUUAACGAAAAAAGGUGGUACCACGCCCGUGUGACGUCCUUUAA